CUAUUACAAAGCUGUACUACUAACUAGGAUAUAUGAUUGGAUGGAUCCAUCACCAUACAAACAAUGGGUAAACUUAGAAAAUGACAUGUUCCCCAUACCACUAUAUACCGUGCCCUGGCAUAAAAACGGACGGACACUUCUCCACCCUAAGAACCGACAUCACCCAACAAUUAUACCGACGCUUCACCUAUGGACUCAAAU